rnacentral:tRNA from 1 species
GUGUGGCCGAGCGGUUAAGGCGAUUGACUAGAAAUCAAUUGGGGCAACCCGCGCAGGUUCGAGUCCUGUCG